rnacentral:rRNA from 1 species
AACGAACGCUGGCGGCAGGCCUAACACAUGCAAGUCGAGCGCCCCGCAAGGGGAGCGGCGGACGGGUGAGUAACGCGUGGGAACGUACCUUUUGCUUCGGAAUAGCGUCGGGAAACUGGGAGUAAUACCGACUGUGGCCUAUGGGGGAAAGAUAUAUCGGCAAAAUAUCGGCCCGCGUUGGAUUAGGUAGUUGGUGGGGUGAUGGCAUACCAAGCCGACGAUCCAUAGCUGGUUUGAGAGGAUGAUCAGCCACACUGGGACUGAGACACGGCCCAGACUCCUACGGGAGGAAGCAGUGGGGAAUCUUAGACAAUGGGCGCAAGCCUGAUCUAGCCAUGCCGCGUGAGCGAUGAAGGCCUUAGGGUUGUAAAGCUCUUUCGUGGGGGAAGAUAAUGACUGUACCCCAAGAAGAAGACCCGGCUAACUCCGUGCCAGCCGCCGCAGUAA